GGUGCUCGAGUGGCGAACGGGUGAGUAACACGUGAGUGAUCUGCCCUGCACUUUGGGAUAAGCCUGGGAAACUGGGUCUAAUACCGGAUAGGACCAUGCUUUAGAUGGUGUGGUGGAAAGUUUUUUCGGUGUGGGAUGAGCUUGCGGCCUAUCAGCUUGUUGGUGGGGUAAUGGCCUACCAAGGCGUCGACGGGUAGCCGGCCUGAGAGGGUGUACGGCCACAUUGGGACUGAGAUACGGCCCAGACUCC
rnacentral:rRNA from 1 species